rnacentral:rRNA from 2 species
CGAAUUAACUUGAGCUAAAUUAAUUUAGAUAUUAGACUCAAUAUAAUAAUGUAGUAUAAUUAUUAAUAAAAAUUAAUUUAGGGGUGAAAGGCCAUCAAAAGUUAAGAUAUCUUGAUGUUUUCAAAAAGUAUUUAGUACAAUUACAGUUGUGAAGUGUUUAGGCUUUACAAGAAUAUUAAUAUUUUUGAGUAUAUUAAUUAGGGUUUAAUAAUCAAUAAAUAGAAAAAUUAAGUAUUAUUUUAAAACAAGUUAUUAUGUAUAGUAAAUAAUAAUAAAAUUAUUUUUAUUAAAAAUAAUGUUACCAUAAGUAGAAAAAUAGACUUUAUAAAUUAACUCGGCAAAUUUUACCUCAACUGUUUAUCAAAAACAUAACUAUGUGAAUAUCUACAUAGCUACUUCUGCUCAAUGAUAUAUUAAAUAGCCGCAGUACUCUGACUGUGCAAAGGUAGCAUAAUCAAUUGACUUAUAAUUGAAGUCUGGAAUGAAAGAAAAAAAAAUGGGGAAAAACUGUUUCUAUAAAGAAAACCUAAAUUAAUUAGCAAGUGAAAAUUCUUGUUUAUAAAUAAUAGACGAGAAGACCCUUGAAAUUUUUAUUAAAAUUAACAUAAACAUUUUUGUUGGGGCGACAAAUUAACAAUAAACUUAAUUACUAAAUAAGAAGCCUCUUGGCAGUGUAAAUAAAUUACUCAAGGGAUAACAGCAUAAUAUUAUAAAGUUUGUGACCUCGAUGUUGGAUUAGGAUAUUAUAGUUUAGAAGAUUAAUUUAAUGGCUCUGUU